rnacentral:rRNA from 1 species
CCUACGGGUGGCAGCAGUGGGGAAUAUUGCACAAUGGGGGAAACCCUGAUGCAGCGACGCCGCGUGAGUGAAGAAGUAUUUCGGUAUGUAAAGCUCUGUCAGCAGGGAAGAAAAUGACGGUACCUGACCAAGAAGCCCCGGCUAACUACGUGCCAGCAGCCGCGGUAAUACGUAGGGGGCAAGCGUUAUCCGGAUUUACUGGGUGUAAAGGGAGCGUUGACGGAAGGGAAAGUCUGGAGGGAAAGGCGGGGGCUAAACCCCCGGACUGCUCUGGAAACUGCCAGGCUGGAGUGCAGGAGAGGUAAGUGGAAUUCCGAGUGUAGCGGUGAAAUGCGUAGAUAUUAGGAGGAACACCAGUGGCGAAGGCGGCUUACUGGACUGUAACUGACGUUGAGGCUCGAAAGCGUGGGGAGCAAACAGGAUUAGAUACCCCUGUAGUC